rnacentral:rRNA from 1 species
UACGGAGGGUGCAAGCGUUGCUCGGAAUCACUGGGCGUAAAGCGACCGCAGGCGGCCUGACAAGUCGGAUGUGAAAGCCCUGGGCUCAACUCAGGAAUUGCAUUCGAAACUGGUAGGCUUGAGUACGGGAGAGGGGGGUGGAAUUCCUGGUGUAGGGGUGAAAUUCGUUGAUAUCAGGAGGAACACCGGCGGCGAAGGCGGCCCCCUGGCCCGCAACUGACGCUCAUGGUCGAAAGCCAGGGGAGCGAACGGG